UUUUUCCUUAACUAGUCCUUAAACUUCUUGAGUUUACAGCUUUUAUAAUAUUCACAUCCCCCCUCCAUUACCCAGAAGGCGUUUGACUCUAGCGCUUGAACAAGAAUUUUCUUGUUCUGUAUUUGGUAAAAUACCACUAUUGGGUCAAACUGAUCACUACGUGAUACAGGCUAUCUCUGUAUCCAUCUUCGUACACGUGCACGUCCUCAAAAAGGGUUACAGGCCAGAAGUUGUACUUAUAUGUAGUGCCAGUGCCUGAGAUCAUCAUUAUCUUCAUUCUCAUUAAAUAAAAAUAAUCAAGAAAUAGCUAGCCUUCCUGAGACCAAGGAAGAUUAUCCUCUUUUUAUUUCCCCAUGAGUCCCUAGAGUGGUUCUUGCAAGAGCAAACCGUGGUUUCCGGAGAGAGAAAGUGAGCGCACAGGCUGAGGCUGUGUCUCCACGGAGUCACAUUAGCACAAACCUAAGCAGGCUUUCAAAAAACUCUGAUUUGUAAAUAAAGACUCUCGUAUAUACAAUACCACGGCUAGAUGAAAUUCUAAAGUUUAAGGGGGAAUUGCCCAGUUUCAGAAAGGAGGCUGUGUGUACAGAGCACCGAGCCAUCCAAACGAAAGCCUGAGCAAACCAUUUAGGAAUGUGGUCUUUGCUGGCCCAGACAUUUCACGUCGUUAUUGGAAAUAAGUUAUGUGGUUCUGACACUAUUUUACUGCUCGUGGAUGAACUGUACUAUGGUGGAGUUUCACUCUAAUUUGCUAUUCCUCCUAAUUGGCCGCAGGCUAGGAAACCAGAAAGCCAAACUGGUUAGAACUGUGUUUAAAGUAAGAACGGCCAGGUUCAGAUCUAGGCCAACGCAAGUCUCUCACAAGCAGGAGUAAGCGGAAGUGCACGGCUUUUAUAACAUCUGUUCUGAGCUCUCCCUCUCCGAAGUGGAGUUCUAAAAGGAAACAACGCUAUGAACUUCCCAUGUCACAUAAGCAACUUUGUUAGGGUGUCUUUCUUUCCCAUUGCAGUUUCCUUUGGGAAAGAAAACUCAAGACCUCCUAAACAGGCUCCCGAGGAGUCCACCUGUGGCAGCUUACCACAGACCACGGGCGACUUGGAGCAGAAACAAACUCACAAGCAGACUGUGCACGUGCCUUCCAAGUCCAGAGAUCUCAGAGAAGCUGAGCUUCUGGGCUUCCACCAAGGUCACCACCCACAGCUACCUCGGGGCUCGCAGGAGGCACCGCCCAUAGCUUUCAGUUCCUCUGGGACGAGGUGCCACGUGACAGAGGUUCGGACCAGGUCCUACAUGUGGAGGGACGGAGACUGCCGAUGCGCCCCCCUCUCCAAUCUGCAUUCUAUCUUUGACUGGUCUGCCCAAGAGCCUGAGUUUGACUCUGUUCUUUACACGUUUCUGCCACAGUGACUGACGUGAAGGCACAGCUGCUGCACCCACGAUCCAGCUUCUGUGGUGCUGCUCGUCCUGCCUUCCCUCUUCUUCUGGGGCCAUUCAAAACAGAAGGGGUGUGGGAGGGCUGUGGGAGGCUGACUGCCCGGAAGCUCCACUGGAAGAACAAGGAGAGCCCGGUGUGAAACGGACUUCCCCCGAGGGGAGGACAGGACAGGCAGCCCAGAGUCACAGCACAUAUUGGAGAGAAAUGGCUUCUCCUUCUUCCUUCUCCUUCUCCUUUUUACUGAAUUCUGAAUUUGUAACACUGGCUAUCCCACAUUCAAGUCAAAAUGCCUGUCCAGAUCAGACUUCAAUACUGGCCUGUCAUCACCUCUGAUCUUUACUGAGCAUUGUGAAGGAGAAAGAGUCCAUUGGGGGCUAAUUGAUCCCAGGCCUGAAAACUGGACACGGGUUUCUAUGGCUACUUCGGAAGAAAACUUCCAAUAAUUCAAGUCCAGAUAUCACCUAAUGCUUCGACUGGAGCACACACACUCCGAAUAUUUAACAAAAGAUAGUAGGCAUGUUAUUUAACUCUAACAGCACAGAAUGAGUUUUCAAUGACAGAGUAGCAAGAGCUAGUGCUAUAAAAUCCACAGCAUUGUCAAUCAUAAGUAGAUCCAAUGGAACUUGUUCAGAUAGUAAGUACUCGGGCAACACUAAGGAGGCCAUUAUGAAAUCAUCCAAGACCUCAGACAUAUAAAAACUUUAUUAGUCAUCACCGAAAUAAAGUGCAUACAAGUUUGUCUUUUAAAGAUCUGAAAAUCCUUAUGUUUUCGGUCUGCACAGCCAUAAAACAGUGCCUGACAAAUUUUAAGUGAUACUCUAAUUAAUCCCUGGAUUUUUUUAUAGUUUCUUGUAAGCUGUCAGUUAGGUCCCUUUAACAAGUUGGGUGAGAGGAAGUCCUCUCGUACGAGCACGGAGCUCCCAGUCCCCUGCACAGACCCACGGCCCACACCCCGGACUGUGGCGCUACGCACCUGCGAGAAGUGGGAGGGCCCGUUCACCUGAAGGUCACUGUCACCUCCCACUGACAGAAGUGGCUUGUGGAAUGUGCACAAUGUCCACAAACAGACAGAAAAUUAUUUCAGCUGCGGCUCUGUCUUGUCCAGGAAACACUUAGGGGGCAUCUUUACACUGUUUCUCUGGUGAAAGCAAUACUUUUUAAUACACUAGUAAUAUGACCCCCUUGAAUACUAUCACAUAGUCAACAACUACCGUGAAAAAGCAUGACCAAACAGUCUUGCGUACAAAAACUGCUGAGUUAUGCUCUUCCCUUGGAUGCGGUGAUGGUAGAGACAAUCCGGGGCAAUUUUACUGCUAAAGGGGAACUUAAUGAAAAGAGGGGGAGCAGAUUUUUUAAGGGCCCAUCUUCAGGAGCAAACAGCUCCAUUGAGAAACGAGAAUCUGCUCUUAAAGGACGAAUUACAUUUUCUAAAACAAAAAUUUCUUCAAUAAAGAUGUUCACUUACCUCGUGAUAUAAGGGAGCACUAACGCCCGUGACGUUCUUUCCCUUUUUAGUGGUGGUUCCAAAGAGUGCACUUGCUUCAUCAAUCUGAAGGAGAACGUCUUUCCAUGAUACCAGGCUGAAGAGCUUGCGCUGCGGCACCUGGACUGCGAGGGUGAGGGCUCGAAUGAGAAGCUCGUCCUCAACCUGGUUUCCAACAACAAAAGCGAUGGAGGCCUU